UACGUAGGUGGCAAGCGUUGUCCGGAUUUAUUGGGUUUAAAGGGUGCGUAGGCGGCCCUGUAAGUCAGUGCUGAAAUAUCCCGGCUUAACCGGGAGGGUGGCAUUGAUACUGCAGGGCUUGAGUACAGAUGAAGUAGGCGGAAUUGACGGUGUAGCGGUGAAAUGCAUAGAUAUCGUCAAGAACACCGAUAGCGAAGGCAGCUUACU
rnacentral:rRNA from 1 species